UUCCGGUUGAUCCCGCCGGAGGCCAUUGCUAUCGGAGUCCGAUUUAGCCAUGCUAGUCGUGCGAGUUCAGACUCGCGGCACCGAGCUCAGUAACACGUGGCCAAACUACCCUACAGAGACGGAUACCCUCGGGAAACUGAGGUUAACCCGUCAUAUCGAUCUCAGGCUUGAAUCGCAGAGAUCACAAAAUGCCCCGGCGCUGUAGGAUGUGGCUGCGGUUGAUUAGGUAGACGGUGGGGUAACGGCCCACCGUGCCCAUAAUCAGUACAGGUUGUGAGAGCAAGAACCUGGAGACGGAAUCUGAGACAAGAUUCCGGGCCCUACGGGGCGCAGCAGGCGCGAAACCUUUACACUGCACGCACGUGCGAUAAGGGGACUCCGAGUGCGAGGGCAUAUCGUCCUCGCUUUCGUGUACCGUAGGGUGGUACACCAACAAGGGCUGGGCAAGACCGGUGCCAGCCGCCGCGGUAAUACCGGCAGCCCGAGUGAUGGCCGAUCUUAUUGGGCCUAAAGCGUCCGUAGCUGGCUGCGCAAGUCCGUCGGGAAAUCCACUCGCCCAACGAGUGGGCGUCCGACGGAAACUGCACAGCUUGGGACCGGAAGGCUCGAAGGGUACGUUCGGGGUAGGAGUGAAAUCCCAUAAUCCCGCACGGACCACCGAUGGCGAAAGCACUUCGAGAAAACGGAUCCGACAGUGAGGGACGAAAGCCAGGGUCUCCAACCGGAUUAGAUACCCGGGUAGUCCUGGCCGUAAACAAUGUUCGCUAGGUAUGACACAGACUAC
rnacentral:rRNA from 1 species